AUAAAACCCGGCGUAAACAGACGACGACGACACGGUUUUUGCGAGGGUUUUAGUGUUUCAUGUGACAUUAUUUACCGUUCCGUCCGAUCGUCUUCCGACGAAGGUGAAUUGUCUUCGUUGCCAUCGAUUUAUUGCUGCGCUGCGAAUGUGAUAAAAAGCUGCUUUUGAUGCUACAGGGUUCCUGCUACACUUCCGAGGAAAAGAAACCGCCCGAAUCUUGCCCGCACUGGAUUAGUCGAGCCGAACCGACCGAUAAGCUUCAGCCAUCACUCGAGCCGCCCAUCCCAGCACGAGCAGCAAUCGUUCACCAAACAUCAUCGUCAUUGUUUUGGUUGUCCGCCGCACACAGAUAGUGCUGGAUUCGCAAGCCUCGCAGCUUCUGCUACACAAAUCAAAACAAUAAACAACGAGGAAACGGAUUCUACCCGCGCGCGCACACGCACACAGUCGCAGCCGUGUUAUCGCCGGUGCGCUAGACGCGAUGGCGGCCACUGACCACACGGCCCUCAGGCCGCACGAUCACGCUUUAUUAGAUGCAUUCACGUUGCUGAUUAGUACAGAACAGUGGCUUCCACCUACCUUACGCUCUCCUGCCGGCUGAAGGCGCUUCCGUGUGUUGAAAUGCGGGCCAGGCUCGGUACAACGGUCAGCGGAAGAUUACUGAUCACGCUGUCGAGCGAGUCCGGCUCCUCCUCGAUCACACCCGGUCGCAUGAAGAUCCGAUUGAGGGGCUUCUUCUCAUCGAGCGUCGGACGUUCGGCAGCCAUGCUUUAACCUGGGACUAACGACAGGACGACGCAAACGAAAAUAUUGGCUAAAGCACCCUUCACGCAAUCGGGCUCAAAUCAUUGGAUUGAUCGGGGUUCGAUCGUGACCCACAACGCGACUAAGAAUAAUGGUCUAGCUUUCUGCCUAUUAUUUAUUUACUAGCUAUCUAUCUUUCAUCGCCCACACAUUUUCACUAUUCCUUCUUCAGCACAGCGCAUCAUACGCACAUUAUUCACUUGUUUGCUGACAUAGACUUAUUUAAAAACACAAAAAUAAAACUGGAAAGUUGGUAAAAGAUAAAA